rnacentral:rRNA from 1 species
CCGCCGGCGACCGGCGCACGGGUGAGUAACACGUAUGCAACCUGGCCGUGACAGAUGGAUAACCGGGAGAAAUCCCGCCUAAUACAACAUAAUGCCGGGAGGGGACAUCCCCUGCCGGCCAAAGGGGCGACCCCGGUCACGGAUGGGCAUGCGGCGCAUUAGGUAGUUGGUGGGGCAACGGCCCACCAAGCCGACGAUGCGUAGGGGUUCUGAGAGGAACGGUCCCCCACAUUGGAACUGAGACACGGUCCAAACUCCUACGGAAGGCAGCAG